ACUAUUUAAUUCUCACACCAGAGCAGGUGUGUCAACAAAGUCGCACCAACCACCUAACAAAUUUGUUCUGGCAAUCUAUAAGAAACUACCCAAAAUUACUUGUAUGUAAAUACAAGAAAUAACGAGUCAUAGUUUUCUAAUUUCUCUCGCCAAGGUUGACGAAUGUAACUUGUUCAAACAAUUAUAACAUAGCAAAGCGCGAAUUUUGAGCUUGACUUUGACGUUUUAUUAGUUUGAGCGAGUGACAUUUAUUUUAUUUGAAAGUGACAAAAGUCUUAAGGAAAUAAAGAUGGAUCCGAAUACAUUGGUUUUAAUAUUGAAGGUAUUGGGUUUAAUAGUACCGUGUGCUGUUUUAUCUGACAAAGUGGUACAGAUUUGUUGUGAUUUUAUAAGACCACUACCGGACAGUUUAGAUUUAAAAUCUAUGUACAGGCGUCAACUUAAAAGAUGUUGGGGUUGAAAUUAUCAUGGAACAAUGCAUUUUAAAGGUUGAAAGAUGGAUGCUAUCAUGCUCUCACAUGAUACUCAUUACCAAAUAAUUCAUGUGUUGUAAUAGUGGCUUGUGAUUAUUUUAUAACUUUUAUGUAUAUAGAUAUAUUUUAUGUAAUUGACGUGAUGUAUAUAUUUCAUAUUUGUGCAAUAAAUAAUUGACUUUUCUAAGUUA